rnacentral:tRNA from 1 species
UGGGAGGGAAGCGGCAGUAAUAGGUGUCCGUGCUCUUUCGGAGCCAUCGGACAGAGUAGCUCCGUCGACAGGUU